GCCUCGGUAGCGGAUGGUCCGCAUCUGCACACAAUAAUUGAUCGUCGUUCAGAAAGCUAUGCAGGAAUCGCUGGUUCGAAUCCAGCCCAGGCCA